GUGCUGCCUCAAUGGGCGUGCAUACGUUCCAGUGGUGGCUUGCUCUGUGGUUCCGGUAUUUAAACGUGGCGAUAACUCACCAACAUGGACCUUCUUCAUCCAGGGGUAGACCACCGGCACUUCCUUUCCCUUCUGUGCGCUGGAAUAAGACUCAGUGGCGAGGCUGCAGUCUUUGCUCACGUCCGCCACGGCACCGCUGUCUGGGACUGGGUUGAGGCGAGGGCCAUGGUUCUGGGCAACGGGAUCUGGCCUCCAGAACGCAUGUAGCCAAGACCAGGUGAGAGCCUAUCUAUCAAGAUAAUAUCCAAGGCCCCUUGUCUGUUAGGAGGACCAGGCUGCAGAGGAAAACAUUCACUAGGUGGUAAAGGAAGGCCACCAACAGAGCACCUUGCAUAUUCAACACACCUUUAGAGGAAAAUGGAAGCUGGCUGCGGAUGACACUGAACUUGGCCUAAAGCGAGCUCUGCUGGUGGCUCCGGGAGGAUGCAGAUUUAUCUUUCUGCUAUGGCUGACCUCGCGGUGAACCGCGCGCUGGGGACGGUUCUUUUUUUCUGCCUGGCAUUGUCUGCCUUGCUGUGCAACGCAUAAGGGACCCCGAUUUGGACAUUUUAAUUGUGUAACAAUGGUGUACAUUUCUCCCCAGACGUCACAAUGAUAAUGGCAUAGAAUAAUGGUUUUACUUAUAUUUUCUACACCACAAACUGUAAUGGAAAUAAAUUUAAAUUUCGUUGCAUUGGC